CAGAGGGUAGUUUAAUUUAGAAUUCUAGCUUUGGGAGCUAGUGGUGGGAGUUAAAAUCUCUUCUUUCUG
rnacentral:tRNA from 1 species